rnacentral:lncRNA from 1 species
UACGGGAGGCAAAAAUUCGUGACAUAAUUUUCUUAUACAGGGAUUAAUGGGGUAUUUAAAUUAAAGAGUUAUAAUCACCCAUAUCCAUGUUCAAAGAAUAAUUCCACUAAUAUGAACAAGCAAAUGAACUAACGUAUUCCAUAAUUUCUUAAAUCAAAUGCAAUUCUAAAUGAUAUGAUUAACACAUAUAGAGGAUAAGGUAAAAUAAUAUAAUAGGAAAUA